rnacentral:rRNA from 1 species
CACGUAGGGCGCGAGCGUUGUCCGGAAUCACUGGGCGUAAAGGGUGCGUAGGCGGGUCUUUAAGUCAGGGGUGAAAUCCUGGAGCUCAACUCCAGAACUGCCUUUGAUACUGAAGAUCUUGAGUUCGGGAGAGGUGAGUGGAACUGCGAGUGUAGAGGUGAAAUUCGUAGAUAUUCGCAAGAACACCAGUGGCGAAGGCGGCUCACUGGCCCGAUACUGACGCUGAUGCACGAAAGCGUGGGGAGCAAACAGG